GAAUCUUCCGCAAUGGACGAAAGUCUGACGGAGCAACGCCGCGUGAGUGAAGAAGGUCUUCGGAUCGUAAAACUCUGUCAUAGGGGAAGAAGGAAGUGACGGUACCCUAUGAGGAAGCCCCGGCUAACUACGUGCCAGCAGCCGCGGUAAUACGUAGGGGGCGAGCGUUGUCCGGAAUUACUGGGCGUAAAGGGUGCGUAGGCGGCCGAUUAAGUCAGAUGUGAAAUACCAUGGCUCAACCAUGGGGGUGCAUUUGAAACUGGUUGGCUUGAGUGCAGGAGAGGAAAGCGGAAUUCCUAGUGUAGCGGUGAAAUGCGUAGAGAUUAGGAGGAACACCAGUGGCGAAGGCGGCUUUCUGGACUGUAACUGACGCUGAGGCGCGAAAGCGUGGGGAGCAAACA
rnacentral:rRNA from 1 species